rnacentral:rRNA from 1 species
GAACGGGUGAGUACACGUGGGUGAUCUGCCCUGCACUUUGGGAUAAGCCUGGGAAACUGGGUCUAAUACCGAAUAGGACCACGCGCUUCAUGGUGUGUGGUGGAAAGCUUUUGCGGUGUGGGAUGGGCCCGCGGCCUAUCAGCUNGNNNGUGGGGUAAUGGCCUACCAAGGCGACGACGGGUAGCCGGCCUGAGAGGGUGACCGGCCACACUGGGACUGAGAUACGGCCCAGACUCCUACGGGAGGCAGCAGUGGGGAAUAUUGCACAAUGGGCGCAAGCCUGAUGCAGCGACGCCGCGUGAGGGAUGACGGCCUUCGGGUUGUAAACCUCUUUCAAUAGGGACGAAGCGCAAGUGACGGUACCUAUAGAAGAAGCACCGGCCAACUACGUGCCAGCAGCCGCGGUAAUACGUAGGGUGCGAGCGUUGUCCGGAAUUACUGGGCGUAAAGAGCUCGUAGGUGGUUUGUCGCGUUGUUCGUGAAAACUCACAGCUUAACUGUGGGCGUGCGGGCGAUACGGGCAGACUAGAGUACUGCAGGGGAGACUGGAAUUCCUGGUGUAGCGGUGGAAUGCGCAGAUAUCAGGAGGAACACCGGUGGCGAAGGCGGGUCUCUGGGCAGUAACUGACGCUGAGGAGCGAAAGCGUGGGGAGCGAACAGGAUUAGAUACCCUGGUAGUCCACGCCGUAAACGGUGGGUACUAGGUGUGGGUUCCUUCCUUGGGAUCCGUGCCGUAGCUAACGCAUUAAGUACCCCGCCUGGGGAGUACGGCCGCAAGGCUAAAACUCAAAGGAAUUGACGGGGGCCCGCACAAGCGGCGGAGCAUGUGGAUUAAUUCGAUGCAACG